AAAGCUUUAAGUUAAAUCAAACUAUUAACCUUCAAAGUUAAAUAUAUAAUUUUUAUAAGCUUUA
rnacentral:tRNA from 1 species